rnacentral:rRNA from 1 species
UAUAUUAAUGUUCCUGCAGUUAUUCGGUGCUCGUAGUUGGAUUUCUGGGGGCUGAGAUUGGAAGGUGGCCAAGGUCACCGCCGAACUCUUCCUUCAUCCACCUGUUAACGUUGUCCGGGAUUUGUUUCUCGGCUUCAGGCUCAGGUAUUUUACCCUUUCUAUAUAUUCAUUUAUUUAUCUUCUUUUUGAGUAAAUUAUAGUGUUUCAGGCAGGCGUGCGCCGGAAUACUUUAGCAUGGAAUAAUCGAAUUGGACCGUGUAUUCUUAUAGAAUUCUUCCUUAUUUGUUGGUUUCAAGGACACGGAAAUGGUUAAUAGGGAUAGUGUUUUCAGGGGAGGCAUUAGUAUUUAAUUUCCAGAGGUGGAAUUCUUUGAAAUAUUAAAGACUAACUUAUGCGAAAGCAUUUAUUUUGCCAAUAAUGUUUUCAUUAAUCAUUGAACGAAAGUUAGGGGAUCAAAGACGAUCAGAUACCGUCCUAGUCUUAACCAUAAACGUUGCCGACUAGGGAUCUGAGGGCGUGCACAUUCCGCCUUCGGCACCUUACGAGAAAUCAAAGUCUUUUGGGUUCUGGGGGUAGUAUGGUCGCAAGGCUGAAACUUAAAGGAAUUGACGGAAGGGCACCACCAGGAGUGGAGCUUGCGGCUCAAUUUGACUCAACACGGGAAAUCUUACCAGGUCCAGACAUAGCGAGGAUUGACAGAUUGAUAGCUCUUUCUUGAUUCUAUGGGUAUUUAUUUUAAUUUUGGUGGUGCAUGGCCGUUCUUAGUUGGUGGAGUGAUUUGUCUGGUUAAUUCCGUUAAACGAACGAGACCUCAGCCUGCUAAAUAGUUACCUGUCUUUCUUUUACGAGACUUGAUAACUUCUUAGAGGGACGUUGUGUGCAACCACAAGGAAGUUGAGGCAAUAACAGGUCUGUGAUGCCCUUAGAUGUCCUGGGCCGCACGCGUGCUACACUGAUACGUACAACAAGGUAUAUGCAUUUAUGCAUCGAUGCUGCUCCGAAAUAGACACAGCUAAAUCUUCUAAAAUACGUAUCGUGCUGCGGAUAGAUCGUUGAAAUUAUGGAUCUUGAAGGUGGAAUUCCUAGUAAGCGCGGGUCAUCAACCCGCGUUGAUUACGUCCCUGCCCUUUGUACACACCGCCCGUCGCUCCUACCAAUUUCGAGUGGCUCGGUGAACCUCUUUGGACUGUCGAGCAAUCGCGAAAUUAGAGUGAACCUGGUCAC